rnacentral:rRNA from 1 species
AUGGAGGACCGGCGGCGCCUGUGUCCGGGCGGUGCGUGGACACGGCGGCCCGAGCAGCUGGAGCGUGAGCUGGCGGUCCGGUCGGCGCGUGGACGGGGCGGCCCGGGCGCCUGGAGCUAUGGCGCCGCGGUCCGCCUGGAGUAUGGACGGGGCGGCCUGGGAGCCUCGAGCGUGGGCGACGCGGUCUGCCUGGAGCGUGGACGGGGCGGCCCGGGCGCCUCGAGCGUGGGCGCGGUGGACCGGGUGCCUGGAGCAUUGGCGGCGGUCCGGCGGCGCGUGCAGAUAGAGGCAGGCGGUGGCUGGGGGAGGGAAGAGGUGGGGCGAUGA